rnacentral:rRNA from 1 species
GAUGAACGCUGGCGGCGUGCCUAAUACAUGCAAGUCGAGCGAACGGACGAGAAGCUUGCUUCUCUGAUGUUAGCGGCGGACGGGUGAGUAACACGUGGAUAACCUACCUAUAAGACUGGGAUAACUUCGGGAAACCGGCGCUAAUACCGGAUAAUAUUUUGAACCGCAUGGUUCAAAAGUGAAAGACGGUCUUGCUGUCACUUAUAGAUGGAUCCGCGCUGCAUUAGCUAGUUGGUAAGGUAACGGCUUACCAAGGCAACGAUGCAUAGCCGACCUGAGAGGGUGAUCGGCCACACUGGAACUGAGACACGGUCCAGACUCCUACGGGAGGCAGCAGUAGGGAAUCUUCCGCAAUGGGCGAAAGCCUGACGGAGCAACGCCGCGUGAGUGAUGAAGGUCUUUGGAUCGUAAAACUCUGUUAUUAGGGAAGAACAGAUGUGUAAGUAACUGUGCACAUCUUGACGGUACCUAAUCAGAAAGCCACGGCUAACUACGUG